rnacentral:rRNA from 1 species
CAAUAGCGUAUAUUAAAGUUGUUGCAGUUAAAAGCUCGUAGUUGGACUUCUGGGUUGUGAUUGUGGUCCGCCUAACGGUGUGCACUGUGGUUGCGACUCUUCUUCCCGUAGUUUGGGGUGGCAGCUUAGUUGUGUGCUUUUGGAAUAUGGGACCUUUACUUUGAAAAAUUAGAGUGUUCAAAGCAGGCCUUCGCUUGAAUACAUUAGCAUGGAAUAAUAAGAUAAGACUUGGGUCAUUAUUUUGUUGGUUUGCGGAUCGAGGUAAUGAUUAAUAGGGAUAGUUGGGGGUAUUCAUAUUUAAUUGUCAGAGGUGAAAUUCUUGGAUUUAUGAAAGAUGAACUUAGGCGAAAGCAUUUACCAAGGAUGUUUUCAUUAAUCAAGAACGAAAGUUAGGGGAUCGAAGAUGAU